rnacentral:lncRNA from 1 species
GGAAGGUGGCGGUGGCCGUGUCCUGCCGGGAGCCCUACCUGUGUGCCCAGUGCCACACGGACUUCACGUGCCGCUGGCGGGAGGAGAAGAACGGCACCAUCAUGUGCGAGACCUGCAUGGCCUCCAACCAGAAGAAGGCCCUGAAGGCCGAGCACACGAACCGGCUCAAGGCCGCCUUCGUCAAGGCCCUGCAGCAGGAGCAGGAGAUCGAGCAGAGGAUCCUGCAGCAAACGGCCCCGCCCGGGCAGCCCAAGGCCGAGCCCGUGGGGCAGCACCACGCGCUCAAGCAGGUGAGGGAGAGGCCCAGGGCCGCCAUUUCCUGAGGGAAAAGGGUCCCUCAGGAAAAGGGUUGGGGUGGGGCCUGCGGGGUUUGGGCCGUGGGUUGGGUUUAGGGUGGGAGGGUUGGGUGUUGUAUCAGGCUCUAGAGAUUGUCCUGGCCCAGAGAGCAUCCAGUCAUGGAGAUUGUCCAGUCCCAAAAAUCAUCCAAUCCCAAAGGUCAUCUAAUCCCAGAGAGCAUCCAGUCCCAGAGAGCAUCCAAUCCCAAAAAUCAUCCAGUCCCUAAAAUCAUCCAGUCUCCAAAAUCAUCNNNNNNNNNNNNNNNNNNNNGAGGUGGUGGAAGGGUUGGAGGAGGUGAGGAAGGGUUGGAGGAGAUGGUGGAAGGGUUGGAGGAGGUGGUGGAAGGGUUGGAGGAGGUGGUGGAAGGGUUGGAGGAGGUGGUGGAAGGGUUGGAGGAGGUGCUGGUGGGGUUUGGGGGGAAAUUGAAAUUUUGGGGUGGGUUUGAAGGUAUUUAAAGAGUUUGUAGGAUUUCAGGCUAAAUUUUAGCAGGGUUUUAGAUGAAAUUUUCAGGGUUUUGGACGAUUCGCAGGAUUUGGGCCAAAAACUUCAGUAAUUCUGCCCAGUUUUUUGUGAUUUCAGUCAGGAUUUUCAGGAUUUUGGCCCAAAAUGUUGGGUUCUUCUGGGUGCAGGAUUUUGGCCAAUUCUCAGGAUUUCAGCCAAAAAUUUCAAUAUUUCCUCCCAUUUUUUUGUGAUUUCAGUCAGGAUUUUCAGUCUUUCAGCCCAAAACAUUGUGUCCUGCUGGGUGCAGGAUUUUUGGCCAGUCCUGGCUGGGUGCAGGAUUUUGGUCGAUUCUCAGGAUUUUUGGCCGAUUUGCAGGAUUUUUGGCCAAUUCUCAGGAUUUUGGCUGAUUCUCAGGAUUUUUGGCCGAAUCUCAGGAUUUUUGGCCGAUUCUCAGAAUUUUGGCCGAUUCUCAGGAUUUUUGGCCGAUUCUCAGGAUUUUUGGCCAAUUCUCAGGAUUUUGGCCAAUUCUCAGGAUUUUUGGCCGAUUCUCAGGGUUUUCACCCAAUUCUCAGGAUUUUGGCCGAUUCUCAGGAUUUUCACCCGAUUCUCAGGAUUUUGGCUGAUUCUCAAGAUUUUGGCCAAUUAUUUCUCAGGAUUUUUGGCCGAUUCUCAGGAUUUUCACCCAAUUCUCAGAAUUUUUGGCCGAUUCUCAGGAUUUUGGCCGAUUCUCAGGAUUUUUGGCCAAUUCACAGGAUUUCACCCGAUUCUCAGUAUUCCAGCCAAACUUUCCACCAUUCCCACCCGUUUUUUUUGCGGUUUCAGUCGGGAUUCUCAGCCUCCCAGCUGUGUCCUGCUGGGUGCUGAGGCAGGGGGUGCCUUGCAGGGAAGAGCGCCCCGGCGGUGCCGCGCGUGGAGCCCUUCGUGUGCGCGCAGUGCCGCACGGACUUCACGCCGCACUGGAAGCAGGAGAAGGGCGGGCGGAUCCUGUGCGAGCAGUGCCAGACCUCCAACCAGAAGAAGGCGCUCAAGGCCGAGCACACGAAUCGCCUCAAGAACGCCUUCGUCAAGGCCCUGCAGCAGGAGCAGGAGAUCGAGCAGCGGCUGCAGCAGCAGGCUGCCCUGUCCCCCACGGCCGCGCCCGCCGUGCCCAGCGUGGGCAAACAGGACGGGAUCCUGCGGCACCACACGCUCCGGCAGGCCCCGCAGCCCCAGAGCAGCCUCCAGCGCGGCAUUCCCACCUCGGCCCGCUCCAUGCUCUCCAACUUCGCCCAGGCCCCGCAGCUCUCCGUGGCUGGGGGGCUCCUGGGAAUGCCAGGUACGGCGGGAACGGGGCUGGGAACGGGGCUGGGGUGGGAAUGGGGUGGGAAUGGGACUGGGAUGGGAAUGGGGCUGGGGUGGGAAUGGGGCUGGGAUCAGCAGGACAGGAGAGCUCAGGCCACGCCCGCUGGGUUUUGGGGCAGAAUUUGGGAAUUCCUACCCUGUGCCAGCUCUGUCCUGGCCUUUCCUGCCUCAUGGGGGCCUGGGGGUGGUGCCGAGGCUCCAUGGGGUCUGUGGGAUCACUGCGAUCCAUGGGAUCUGUGGGAUCUCUGGGAUGGGCUGUAUGGGAUCCCUGGAUCCGGGUGCCGGUGCCGAGGUUUUGUGGGGUCUGUGGGAUCACUGGGAUCCCUGGGAUCUGUGGGAUGGGCUGUAUGGGAUCCCUGGAUCCCGGUGCCGGUGCCGAGGCUCUGUGGGAUAUUUGGGAUGUUUGGGGUGUUUGGGAUCCCGGUGCCGGUGCCGAGGUUCUGUGGGAUCUGUGGAAUCACUGGGAUCUGUGGGAUCUGUGGGAUAUUCGGGGUGCCAGUGCCAAGGCUCCGUGGGCUCUGUGGGAUCACUGGGCUCUGUGGGAUCACUGGGAUCCAUGGGAUCUGUGGGAUAUUUGGGGUGCCGGUGCCGAGGCUCCGUGGGCUCUGUGGGAUCCAUGGGAUCUGUGGGAUAUUUGGGAUGUU